UAUAUAUAGACUCAGGCAAGGUUUAGCCCAGAGCCGGAGGAGCGGUGUCAAUCUCCCCAUCUGCCUACCACUAACCAGGCAUCUUCUGUUACCACAAGCCAGAAAUCAAAGAAGCCUUCAUCCAGUCAAAGUACAAUUGGGGUAUCCCAAAAAAAGAAAAGAUCAAAGGGAAAUGAGGGUGAAAUGGUGCCUGACUUUCCAACUGAGGAAUUAAUCCUAUUAGUCCAAGAUCGGCCAGCACUGUGGGAUCAUACCCAUGAAAAACACUCAGACAAUUAUCAUACAAGAAAUAUGUGGCAGGAAGUGGGGGAAUGUUUAAUUCCGAACUA